rnacentral:pre_miRNA from 1 species
GUACUACUCCUUCCGUUCCACAAUACAUAACUUUUAUUUGUCAAAAUAUAGAUAUAUCUAGACACGUUUUAGUACAUACUAGAUACAUUUAUUUUUGGACAAAUGAAAGUCAAAUAUUUUCGAACGGAGGAAGUAGUUG